UACGAAGGGGGCUAGCGUUGUUCGGAAUUACUGGGCGUAAAGCGCGUGUAGGCGGGUCUUUAAGUCAGGGGUGAAAUGCCAAGGCUCAACCUUGGAACUGCCUUUGAUACUGGAGAUCUUGAGUCCGGGAGAGGUGAGUGGAACUGCGAGUGUAGAGGUGAAAUUCGUAGAUAUUCGCAAGAACACCAGUGGCGAAGGCGGCUCACUGGCCCGAUACUGACGCUGAGGCACGAAAGCGUGGGGAGCAAAUGGG
rnacentral:rRNA from 1 species